rnacentral:misc_RNA from 1 species
GGAAGUAAAAGUCGUAACAUGGUUUCCGUAGGUGAACCUGCGGAAGGAUCAUUGACGCACAUCCUAACCGAUGCUUGUGCCAACAAGCAGACCCAGCGAACCAUUCUCCUAUCACUUGAGGGGCUGCAUCGCGAGGUGCAGCUGUCGGCGGUCGGGCCCUUGCUUCAGGGGCCGGAGUCCUUGCUGGGUUCACCGUUGCGGGUGAGCACCGGCCGUCCGACGGGGGCCGCUCUUGGGCCUCGCACACGGGAGAGUGCGGGGGCGGCGUUUCCCACUCCAGCUGUCCCUUCCGGGGCAGCUGCGCAACCAACCAAACACUAUGCAAAAACCGACUGAAGACCGAUCCUUUGCGGGCGCCUUCGGGAGCCCUGCCUCGGAUCAAAACAAACUAAAGACAACUCUCAACAACGGAUAUCUUGGCUCUC